AGAUGUGAGGGUGAUCUGGCUGUGACACCUGUCACCCAUUGAUUGCCAGGGUUGGUUCAGCUGAUCUGGCUGGCUAAGCAGUGUCCCAUUCUUCCCUCAAUGUUCCAUUGUGUCUCUCCCGACGGCCUUCCUGGAAUAGAGAUGGAUCUGUCUUCAGUCAAGGGCAUACGGGUAACUGUGCUCCCCUGCUGGAACCUCCAAGCAAGCUCUCAAGAAAUGGGUACCGCUGUGCCAGUCCUCACCCCUCUCCAGGACCUUUCCCAGAUUUGGAAUGUCCAGGGUCAGAUAUA
rnacentral:snRNA from 1 species